GAGGGCCUGGGCGGGCCCCGGCGCCCCCGGCGCGUGCGGGGCCCCGGGCGCCGCGGCUCCCCGCCGGGCGCGCUUCCGCGAAUCGCUGGCACCUCGGCGGGGGCCCGGCGGGGGUGUGGCCGCCCGCGCCGCCUCUGGCUGGUGGGCCGAGGCCCGGGGAGAGGACUGCGGGGGGCGGCGCCCUGCCUGCCCGGAAGCCGCUCCUGCCGCCGCACCCAUCGGCCGCCUCUUUAUCUUGUUACCUGGCAGAUGUUAGGAGCGGGGGCUGGGAAAGAAAGGGGAGAAGGAGUGAGAGAGAAACCUCGAUGGAGAGCGAAACAUGAAACUUCCACGUCCAUCGGCUGCCUCCUGCACGCCCCCUGGCGGGUGAUCUAAGCUGCAGUGCCCGGAUUAGGAAUCCAGCAGGUGACCUCAUGCUGCAUGGGCCUAGGCUCAACCACUGAGCCACACCCGCCAGGCUGCAGUUUUUGUGAAUCGUGCUUUGUCUGAUUUUUAUGUAAUAAAGGAAGAACGUUAUGUACAGAGAACAGUGCCAGAAACUGGUUCUUCAUAAUCCCUAGGUCUUUCCAGCUGCCUCCUCUUUUCUCACAAGGGCAAAGCCGUUUUGCCAGUCCCCCAAGUGCCACGGAACUCUUGUGGCUGUUCUAUGUGGUUCUCAUACUGGUUUCCAUGGGUCCAUCUGCCUGCCUCACUUCACCCCUUCUUUCUACUUCUUAAAUGAACUCCCCAUUGUCUUUUAUCCUGUUUAUGUGAUUUGUAUCUGGCUUUCUCUGGUCUCCUAGAGGCAUAUUGCAUGGAGUAGCAUACUGUCAGAGCAUAGUUGAAGCUAGACUGCCAAGGUUCCAAUCCCAGCUUUGUAGUUUGGUUUUGGGCAACAUCUUUCUUGCUCAGUUCUCUCAUAUGGAAGAUAGAAAUAAAAAAGUAAUAUAAGUAAAGUAAAAAUAGUCAAAAUAUUGAGUUAUUAUAAAGCUUACUAUAUCAUGCUAAGAAAGUUCAAUGAGGGUAGUAGUAAGGGCUGUGUAAGUAGGGCUGUCCUAUAUAAUAAAAGCCCAGCAACUGAACAGCAGAACAACCAGAAUGAGUGGUCGGCCAUUCGCUAUGAUGCACAGUGACCACCAGGGGGUAGACACUCAACGCAGGAGCUGCCCCCGGUAGUCAGUACGCUCCCACAGUGGGGGUGCCGCUUGGCUGACCCGGAUGAGCAGCGCUCCCACAUCAGGCCAAUCCCUGCAGCCCACGCCCCCCAAACAGUACACAAAUUCCAUGCACCAGGCCUCUAGUUAUUAAUAUUAUAGACAUGUGUCCAGGAGACCCAGACUAGACUCUCAAGUGCAAUGUGACCACCCAUAGAUUCUCAGAUUGAAAAUACUGUUUUCAGUCAAUGGCUGGUUGCAAAUAUGAAACCCGUGGAUAUGGGCUUGCUUUAAAAGUUACUUUAUGUAUUAGUAAACAUUAAUAACACAGUUAGAUUUUUGUAUUAAUAUACAUUAUUAAUAGACUAGAGAGUCUUGUGUUAGGACUAGGAGUCUUAUCUUAGCCCCUACUCUGAAGACAUGGAGACCAGUUAACUGAGGUUAACAAUUCGUUUUUAUUUUAAAAGUUUCUGCCUGAGACUCAGAAAUGAGUUUUAUAGUAGAUGUGUCUGUUUUCUAUAACCUUUUUCCUAAUGACUGUGAAAGUAGAGUAAUGAGACUUCAGGAUGUCAUCCCUCAUUAUCAGAUAUCCCAUCCCCACAAAUACCCCAUCCCCACUGAUACCAAGACCCACGAAUACUCAAGUCCCUUAUGUAAAACUAGAGGUCCAGCACACGAAAUCAUGCGUGGGUGGGGUCCCUAGGCCUAGCCUGCAAUCAGGGCCAUCUUCCUCCCGUUUGCCAGUCCCCAUUCCCAUCCCGCUGCUGACAUUCACCCCAGUUCCCGGUUCGCCGUCUGGUGAUCUAUCAGAGCCUGUGGGCCAGAAGGAGGGACCAAGAGGUCAGCCGUUCCACCUGCUUGCCAAUCCCCAGUCUCACCCUGCUGCCAACACCUACCCUGGUUCCCCGUUCACCAUCCAGCGAUAGGAGCCUUUGGGCUGCGGGGAGGGACUAAGAGGUCUGCCUUUCACCUGCUCCCCAGUCCUGCCCCACCUCCACCCACCCCUGUUCCCCAUGGUUCUCAUUGGCCAUCUAGCUAUCGGGAGCCUGCAGGCUGGGGGGAGGGACCGAGAGGUGGUCAGUGCACCUCAUAGUGACUGGUUGAUCAGUCAUUCUGGUCAUUACGCUAUUAUGGUUGCUGGCCUUUUAUUAUAUAGGAUGGCAUAGAAUGAUCUACAGUUGGCCCUCUGCACCCAUAGAUUCUCAGAUCGAAAAUACUGUUUUCAAUCAAUGGCUGAUUGCAAAUAUGAAACCUGUGGAUGUGGAGUACCCGCUGUGCAUCCACAUCAAUGAUCUCCUCAGGGUUGUCACUGUGAUAGCGUAUACCUUAGACACCAACAUUGCCAUUAUUCCGAGCACUUUUAAAAUUACCUCUCAGAUUGUUGUUGGAUCUGCCCAGGAAACUCCAACUUGUUUAACUAUAACCAACAUCUUGGUUUUAUACCAAAAUAGUAUUGAUUUCCUCAUCUCAUGAGUCUUAGUUCUGAAUAACCUGGCUGUUUCUUAAAAAUGACACACACUUGCAAAUAAUUGGUAUUUGCCACCGCUAAACAUAGUCAAAAGAACUUGUCAUGUGUAUUGGAGGCAAGGCCAAGCUAUUUCUGGAAUCAGAAGGAAGGUUCACCAAAGUAAUAGCUUUGAAGCACUCCUUUAGAGGUGUAAGUUUUGUUCUUUAGCUGCAGAGUUGUAUGAUUUUAUAAUAGGUGUAUUAUAAAAGUCCCAGCCCUUCUGCAGAAGCGGUAGCUGCUUGUACCAACACUGGGGGGUGGGGACGUGAUUCUUAGGCGUCUCGACCUGGUCUCCUCUCUGGCCUGGCUUUCUUCCUGUCUCUGGAGGGAGCUCGUUUGGCCACCCAAUAGGCUUGCUCUCAAAGUGCUGUUUGUCAUCCUCACAUGGCCCUCUGGCCGGGGCUGUGGUAGGUUCUCGGGUUUGGUGCUCUGACCCCAGACUGUUUUAGCCACCAGAACACCUGUUGACACUUCAACAUUGGAAGGUGUAGGAAAGCAGCCCUGAAACAACCCAGGAUUCUUGUAGAGAAGGGCAGGCCAGGGGAGGGGAAAGGCCUUCAGAACUAGCACAGUCCAAAGAAAGCGCCGAGGACUAGAAAAAGUACCUGUUUUGUCUGCGCACGUGCUUUCUGUGAUGACAGAAAUGCAAAGACGGUUCCAGAACGACCCUUAGCAGUCAUUUUCUUGUCCUGGGAUAAACCUGGAAAUGAGCGAGUGUUUAUUUGGCCAAGCUGGUGUUCUUGUCAGGGAGUGAGAACACCCUUGGGGGUGCUGGAGGUUAGCAGUGACAACCUGGAGAUGGUCCAGCAGAAUCUCAGUGGCACCAGCCAGGAGGCUUAAAAAGGACCCGCCUGAGGGUUUGAGGUGCUGUCUGUCUGCUGGUUACUGUGGCCUUUGCCACAAUCAGCAAGGGAAGAGAGGCCACUUGUCCUGGCUUACUAGCCAAUCUCAACCUGAGAAGGCACAUCUUUCCAGAAUCCCUGUUGGUGGGGGUUCCUGAAUGCCAAAGUGACAUGCAUGGUGGGGAAGGGUGAGGGCGGCAGUGGUGGUAUUGUGUAGCCAUAGAACAGUCUGGCAAGACAAAUUUUUCUUUCAGUGUAGCUCUGUGGAUUCCCCAGAAUGCAGAGGGUCAAGGUGCAAGAAGACUUCAGAGGAACUAGGGUGGGUCUAAAGCCCUUUUUACAAUAAGUGCCAGGUCACAGGUGUCUCUAAAUCAGGUUAUGCCAUUCUGCAGUCUUCAGCAAGAACCCCUAUGCUCUGACUCAAAAACAGCUGCUGCUUUGAACACUCCUUAAAAGCCGAAAUGCUUUGCUUACCUGCAUACUUUAACUACUAGAGCAUAGGUUUCUCAAGAGCAGGGACCUCGUUUCUUAUGCACUGAUAGAAGCCAUGAACUGGUGUAGGGAACUCGGAUGCAGUAUGGCUCCCACAGCAAAGGCGUCUGGGAAACGUUGGGGUCUCUUUCAUUCUCUGUACCCAGAAAACCAGAAUGCCACCCAAAAAUCAACGCCAUGCUCCCAGGAAGGGGGAGAGGAAACUGAGGCUCCAUGAGGGUGAUUUGCCUCAGGGUCACGUAAGUAGGAAGUAGAAGAACGUCUGUCCCAGCGCUCUGAGGUACAGUUGUAGUGACUGCUGUCUCCAGCUGUAACUCUCCACCUGUCGUACCUUAGGUGCUCAAGAAUGAACGAACAAACUGACUUCAGAUGAAAAAGGGGGCAUGUUGCAACAAGGGAAUGCUUUGGAGUAAAGAACUAAAGAAAGAUUCCCAUUUUCACCAUGGAUGUGAGGGCAAACUAUACCUUAUAAUUACAGAAUUUCUACCUGUGUUCGUUGUGUCUGUGACCAGCACGAAAUGUUGCACAUCUCAGUGUAUCGAUCGCCAUUGAAUGACCGCUCUUGUCAGAGCACUGCAUGGUUUGGUUGGUUAUGGUUUUUCCAGGAGAACCAAUUGUGGCUACAAAAGGUUAUUUUCCUUAAAAGCCAGGUAUUAUGAGUAUCUGUAGAUGAAUACCUAAUGUAGUCAAUUUAUAUCUAGUAAUAAACUCUAGUUGAUUAUAUGUGAAACAAUUUAAUCUGAUUAAAGCUAAGAGUUGUAGUCUGUUUAAAAUGUCUU